AAGUGGAUGCCCUGGCAAGCAUAGGAUGCUUGCACAAGGAGCAACUUCUAGCAGUCUUCUAAAGAUGACAGCACUCUGAGGUACGGGGAUACAUGAAUGAAUCGAAUUGCACAUCGAAAUGGCGCGGGGAAUGGUUGAUAGCAUAUAUGUAAAGAGUUGGAACUAAUCACAUGAGUCGCCUUUUGGUUGUUUGGCUGUGGAGUUAAAGGAACUCCAAAAUUAAACGUGCUUGGUUCAAGAAAAUUUUAGGAUGGGUGACCUCUUGAGAAGUUCUCGAAUCUGCUAAGGGGAAAAAACCGUGAGGCUAGUAGGGCCAAAAUGGACAAAAUAUCUCAUAUGAUCUGAUUCUAGGUCGUUACAAAUGGUAUCAAAGCAGGACCC
rnacentral:lncRNA from 1 species